rnacentral:lncRNA from 1 species
UUGUUGUUUUUCCAUUUCUGCCCUUGCCUCGAGUAAUGACCGUCUUUCUUCUUGAACGAGGGCUUGUUCGAGUAGUAAUCUUUCUUCUGAGCGGAACUCCCCGAUGGCCCUGAUGAAAAGGGGCGUUUAAAAUCAGGAUGACAAACACGCCACGCAUCCUGAUACGCCAUCUGCAUUUCCACCUGAUUCGCAGUAGGAGCACCAGCACCAACAGCCUGCGUUCGAUUCGGAGGUCUAACUUGCGAAUUCAAAACCAUAGGAUUAUUACUUUGCAACAAAUUAGGGUUAGGGUUAGGGUUUUGCGGCUGUUGAUUGCUAACGGGACGCUGUAACGGUCGAAGAUGUGCGUCGAUGUUAGAUGGAAAGCGAGAGAUUGCUUGCUGCAGUUUCUGCUGCUGCUGCAUUUGCUGUAGCAGAAGCAUUCGUUGUUGGAGAUGGUGCGGCUGGUGAUCUAAAAGUUGUUGUUGUUGUUGCUGUUGUUGUUGUUUCAGGGUUAGGAGUUGCUGGUGUUUGUUGUGGUCGGUAAUCGUGGGCUUGUUGUCUUCCAUUUUUGGUAGUCGUUGUCGCCCCGUCGGAUCCGGCGGAAACCCUUUUUACGGGAGACUGAAUUCACGAUAUGCG